AAAAAGGGUGCUCGCUACUUCAAUAGCGCGUCGGUUCGUUUAACGAUCCGGCGGGGUAUGGCUAUCCAGACAUACCCAGUACGUAAUUUUUGAUAACGGGAGGCUGUUGGCUGCCAUUUGCACCGGCGCCUUC